UCUUCGGAUCUAGUGGCGGACGGGUUAGUAACGCGUGGGAACGUACCCUUCACUACGGAAUAGUCCCGGGAAACUGGGUUUAAUACCGUAUACGCCCUUCGGGGGAAAGAAUUUCGGUGAGGGAUCGGCCCGCGUUAGAUUAGUUAGUUGGUGGGGUAAUGGCCUACCAAGACUACGAUCUAUAGCUGGUUUGAGAGGAUGAUCAGCAACACUGGGACUGAGACACGGCCCAGACUCCUACGGGAGGCAGCAGUGGGGAAUCUUAGACAAUGGGGGCAACCCUGAUCUAGCGAUGCCGCGUGAGUGAUGAAGGCCUUAGGGUCGUAAAGCUCUUUCGCCUGUGAUGAUAAUGACAGUAGCAGGUAAAGAAACCCCGGCUAACUCCGUGCCAGCAGCCGCGGUAAUACGGAGGGGGUUAGCGUUGUUCGGAAUUACUGGGCGUAAAGCGCACGUAGGCGGAUUAGUCAGUCAGAGGUGAAAUCCCAGGGCUCAACCCUGGAACUGCCUUUGAUACUGCUAGUCUUGAGUUCGAGAGAGGUAAGUGGAAUUCCGAGUGUAGAGGUGAAAUUCGUAGAUAUUCGGAGGAACACCAGUGGCGAAGGCGGCUUACUGGCUCGAUACUGACGCUGAGGUGCGAAAGUGUGGGGAGCAAACAGGAUUAGAUACCCUGGUAGUCCACACCGUAAACGAUGAAUGCCAGUCGUCGGGUAGCAUGCUAUUCGGUGACACACCUAACGGAUUAAGCAUUCCGCCUGGGGAGUACGGUCGCAAGAUUAAAACUCAAA
rnacentral:rRNA from 1 species